rnacentral:rRNA from 1 species
AUUGAACGCUGGCGGCAGGCUUAACACAUGCAAGUCGAGCGGAGAUGAGGUGCUUGCACCUUAUCUUAGCGGCGGACGGGUGAGUAAUGCUUAGGAAUCUGCCUAUCAGUGGGGGACAACAUUCCGAAAGGAAUGCUAAUACCGCAUACGCCCUACGGGGGAAAGCAGGGGAUCUUCGGACCUUGCGCUAAUAGAUGAGCCUAAGUCGGAUUAGCUAGUUGGUGGGGUAAAGGCCUACCAAGGCGACGAUCUGUAGCGGGUCUGAGAGGAUGAUCCGCCACACUGGGACUGGGACACGGCCCAGACUCCUACGGGAGGCAGCAGUGGGGAAUAUUGGACAAUGGGCGGAAGCCUGAUCCAGCCAUGCCGCGUGUGUGAAGAAGGCCUUUUGGUUGUAAAGCACUUUAAGCGAGGAGGAGGCUACCUGGAUUAAUACUCUAGGAUAGUGGACGUUACUCGCAGAAUAAGCACCGACUAACUCUGUGCCAGCAGCCGCGGUAAGAC